UUGGAGGGCAAGUCUGGUGCCAGCAGCCGCGGUAAUUCCAGCUCCAAUAGCGUAUAUUAAAGUUGUUGCAGUUAAAAAGCUCGUAGUUGAAUUUCGGGGUCAGUAGGUUGGUCAUGCCACAGGUAUGUACUGGUCUCACUGAUUCCUCCUUCCUGAUGAACUGUAAUGCCAUUAAUUUGGUGUUGCAGGGAAUCUGGACUGUUACUUUGAAAAAAUUAGAGUGUUUAAAGCAGGCUAACGCCUGAAUACAUUAGCAUGGAAUAAUGAAAUAGGACGUUCGAUCCUAUUUUGUUGGUUUCUAGGAUUGACGUAAUGAUUAAUAGGGAUAGUUGGGGGCAUUGGUAUUCAAUUGUCAGAGGUGAAAUUCUUGGAUUUAUUGAAGACUAACUACUGCGAAAGCAUUUGCCAAGGAUGUUUUCAUUAAUCAAGAACGAAAGUUAGGGGAUCGAAGACGAUCAGAUACCGUCGUAGUCUUAACCAUAAACUAUGCCGACUAGGGAUCGGAUGAUGUUAAUUUUUUAAUGUCUCAUUCGGCGCCUUACGGGAAACCAAAGUGUUUGGGUUC
rnacentral:rRNA from 1 species